rnacentral:rRNA from 1 species
GUGGGGAAUCUUAGACAAUGGGCGCAAGCCUGAUCUAGCCAUGCCGCGUGAGCGAUGAAGGCCUUAGGGUUGUAAAGCUCUUUCGCUGGGGAAGAUAAUGACUGUACCCAGUAAAGAAGCCCCGGCUAACUCCGUGCCAGCAGCCGCGGUAAUACGGAGGGGGCUAGCGUUGUUCGGAAUUACUGGGCGUAAAGCGCGCGUAGGCGGAUUGGAAAGUUGGGGGUGAAAUCCCGGGGCUCAACCUCGGAACUGCCUUCAAAACUCCCAGUCUUGAGUUCGAGAGAGGUGAGUGGAAUUCCGAGUGUAGAGGUGAAAUUCGUAGAUAUUCGGAGGAACACCAGUGGCGAAGGCGGCUCACUGGCUCGAUACUGACGCUGAGGUGCGAAAGCGUGGGGAGCAAACAGGAUUAGAUACCCCGGUAGUCC